rnacentral:rRNA from 1 species
UGGGGAAUAUUGGGCAAUGGGCGCAAGCCUGACCCAGCAACGCCGCGUGAAGGAAGAAGGCCCUCGGGUUGUAAACUUCUUUUAACAGGGACGAAGGAAGUGACGGUACCUGUUGAAUAAGCCACGGCUAACUACGUGCCAGCAGCCGCGGUAAUACGUAGGUGGCAAGCGUUAUCCGGAUUUACUGGGUGUAAAGGGCGUGUAGGCGGGAUGGCAAGUCAGAUGUGAAAACCACGGGCUCAACCUGUGGCCUGCAUUUGAAACUGCUGUUCUUGAGUGAUGGAGAGGCAGGCGGAAUUCCGUGUGUAGCGGUGAAAUGCGUAGAUAUACGGAGGAACACCAGUGGCGAAGGCGGCCUGCUGGACAUUAACUGACGCUGAGGCGCGAAAGCGUGGGGAGCAAACA